GAUAAGUUAAAGCUGCUGACCUUUGCUAAUGGAAGAGAGGAAGAAAGUUUAUCUAGAAGCAAUGGGAUGGCAAAGGGCUCGAAAUACGGACUUGCACAAAAGGCAUGCUGCAAAUAUUUAAACAGGUUGUUAACCACACAAGUAAAAUAA
rnacentral:rRNA from 1 species